rnacentral:rRNA from 1 species
UACGGAGGGGGCGAGCGUUAUUCGGAAUUAUUGGGCGUAAAGGGCGCGUAGGCGGCCGUGUAAGUCUUGGGUGAAAUCCCUCAGCUCAACUGAGGAACUGCAUCGGAUGCUGCAUGGCUUGAGGCCGGGAGAGGGUAGUGGAAUUCCCAGUGUAGCGGUGAAAUGCGUAGAUAUUGGGAGGAACACCGGUGGCGAAGGCGGCUACCUGGACCAUUACUGACGCUGAGGCGCGAAAGCUAGGGGAGCAAACGGG